GAAAUUUAGUUUCUAGAUUUAUAUUUGGGUGGCUGUUGUGUGCAGCCUAGUCCAAGUGCUGCUAUGUGGGUGUAGUUUUGGUAGGUAUGUGUUAAUGCUACUGCAGGCAGCUGCAUAUUAAUGUGGCUAUAUUGUUGUGAAUAAAAUAAGCUGGAGGGUGGCACCUUCUUGGUUCCACGUAUUCUUACACCACAAUGCAAUUUCACACAUAACUUCUGCUUCUGCAAGGUGACUUGCAGGCAGAAUAGUCUCACUACCAUAAAAGGUUAUAAUGUAAGUGCCAAAGAGUAGUAAUUGACCAACAAGCCAGAUAGCCCCUUCAGUCACGAAUUAGACUAGCAUGGAUUACUUGUGCAAGUUAAUUAUUGGUUGCAAGCAUUACUAGAAAGAAAAAAAAAUUCCGCAAUUGCUGCAAGAACGCCCCCUGUUACACCACCCGUCAAACACUAGUGCCUUCUCCAAAGCGAUCUUCGGUAGCGAUAGAUUUUCCUCAGUACAACGGAGGUACUUGAGGUAAAAAGAACGUUCAAUUUACCUUAAGCGUAAUUUUAUGAUCUAUUCCUUGCCACAACUGCACAGAUAUGGCAAAAAUAGGUCGUGUCUACAAAUGUGUACAGUGACUGAAGGGGAUACGUUGCAUGCCCUUAACAGAGGUGUAGUGCCACCUGCAUCCUGCACUUUUAUAAACAGCUUACUGCAUUGCCUAUGUAUGUGUGCAUGCAUGUAUGUUUAUAUGCUUGCAUUCAUGGCUGUAGGAAACUGAAGUUGGGUAGUGUAUUUCCUGAGUUCCUUUAAAAUGUAACUUUUUGUCUGACAUGAAUCUGUUUUUUUUUUGCUUGGACAGAGUGGUUUGCAGGUUGGCCUAUGUUGAGUCAGGGGCUGAUAACCAAUUAUCAUUUCUUUCAACCAUUUAUAAUAUACCUAAGAAACAAUGAUUGCAUUAAUUGGCUUUUUGAAGAUUCUUUACAACUUUAGUGCUUUCCUGAGAUGUUUUCAUGCUGUACUGAUAAUACAAACAUUAUAUUGAUACAUCUCUUCUGAAUAGGUACCCUUCUAAGGAGCUUUACUGCACUGCUGUGGAGCAACUAAUUCAAAAAUAUCCGCACUUGCGUGACAACGUGAAGAUAGGCAGUGGCAUGGAAUCGUGGAAAGUUGCCCUCAAGAAUAAGUUUAAGAACAACAGAAAGAAGGCAGUGAAUGUGUCCACGGAAAUGCAAGCGGUUCGGGCCCAGAGCUACCGCAAGAGUCCCAGGGAGCCAGUGGUGGAGGUGGCGAACAAGAAGCUAUGCCGCCUCUCUGUUAGUGUUUGUUAAUUAUUUCUGUUUUGUUUUGCAUGCCCCUCUGAAAAAUGCAGGUAAAGUGUUGUCAGUGGUGCACAUCUUUCGGCUGUUUUUUGUUUCACUGAUAUUUUUCUUUUAACUAUCAAAGUUUCGUCACUGAGGUGCUGGUUUUACAUAUUGCAGGACAACAAUGACCUCAUCAUUUAUGGGGAGACCCUGGAGUCGCGACAUAAACAUAACGAGUGGCUGCAGCAACAUUUUGCAACUGCUGAUCCAGAAGAUUUGCGGCCACGUCUUCUUGCAACAGCCAAGGAACGGCACGAGUGUCUUCGCCGAAUCACGUUGUCGGAGGCGCUCCUGCAGUAUCCUUUCCUAGCAACAGAACACUCGCUGCUGAUGGAGUUCAAUAUAUUGUUCAAAAGAACAAUACUCGACAGUAUUGAGCGUGGCUGCAGCCGUCUGUGCAGCAUCAUUCUCGACCACGCGGAGCAGGACGAGGUUGUUCAAUUCUCUGCCAUGGCUUCUGAGGAUGGUGUGCUUGGUGUCCUCAACUUCAUUGCAGGCCGCUGCAAUGAAUCACUUGAUGCUAUCUUAACAGAAACAGCUGCGGUCCCACUAACUCCAUGCCUCCAGAGGGCAUCUGAUGGCUCCCUCGCGCUACACAUCGAUGCGCAGCGAUUGUUUGUGACGUCAUCACUGCUAGCAGGCCUGGCCUGCCUUUUCGCUUCUUUCUGGGUAUUCCACAUUGUAUACCCAAAAAAGGCCCACAGGAUUUUAACAUUCAUUGAGCACUGCUUUCUAGAUUUGUGCUACACAAAGCCACGGGUGAAAGCAUUAGAGUUAGUAAAUUUUUACAAGAACUAUUGCUAGGCAAAAAAAU